rnacentral:lncRNA from 1 species
AGCAUCAGCUUUCAGAAUAUUUCCAAAUCAGCUUUGACAUGGAUAUUUACAGUUGUUUCUUGGUAAGGAGACUCUUGUUUUAGGGAUAAUUGUAAAAAUACAGUUGAAUUUAAAUAAAAAAGUAACCUGCAAGAAUGCGAUCCUGCUUUUAAAAAGGCAAUAGAAAAAAAUGGACAAAUGGGUAGAUAAUUAGGUAAUGCAUGCAAAAGAAAAACUUAUAGCGAAAAGAGAAUAUACAGCAUAUGUAGUAUGAUACAUUUUUGCAAACAGAAAUGAUUUAAGCAUGUGUGCAAUCUUGUUUAUAAUUCAUUGGAUGAGUGGUUAAAUGAAAGCUAGUAUAUCCAAUCUGAAAUAAUUAAAGUAAGACUUCAAAAAUUAAAAUUUAGAAUUGAAAUUUGGGAAUAAUGGUAAAGAGACAACUACCCGACCCAAGUGUACACAACAGUAGAAGGCAUCCAAUGGGUCGUCAACGCAGCCAAAACAUCCGGCACCCGGAGGAGUUAGUUAGCUGUCCCCUUAAUAUAUUGUGUACAGUGAAAUUAAACGCCACACUAAACUCCAAAUCAUGUAAAUGAGCUAAAAAUAAAAUAAUAAAAUACUAUAGACUAACAAAUGCCAGAGACUUGGGAUACGCGCCAAAAUGCAGUGGGGUUAAACAUUGUUUUGUGAUAUUUCAACCCUCCCCCUAUAGCUCUAGCCAAUUUCGAAUAACAAAAAAACACAUAGCAUUACACACAUUACAACUCAGUUUAAAAGAAGUCUGAGUCCAAUGUUGAUACAUGUUUAGAACACAAUACAGUAUGCUUAUUUUAUCUGGGUAUAUGUUUGUCAACUAAAAUUUUCUUUUUACUUAAUUAAAUUUCAGGCUAUAUCCAUAUUGAAGAUAUCUGAUGCUGUGUUUAGCUUUCAGUGUCCUGUUCAGUCACACUGGAAACAUAGAGCUGACAAUAUUUGUGGCUCUAACAGCAGUUACUUUUGCUUAUAUGAUAAGAAUAAUAAAACAUUUGUGGAAUUUUGUAGAGAUCAUCCCGAUUUUGAAGCACCAGGUAUAUACUAAUUAUUUUUAAAUACAUACCAACUUAACUGUCUAUGUCUUUAAAAUAGCUAAGAGGGUCGUAAUGGGUGUACCUUCAUGACGAAAAAAGGUAAAAAUUCUUGCCAAAUGACGUUAACAGUAGUUUUUGGUGUAUGACGAUAAAAUGUACACUUUCUUUUAGACGAUAAAAACAUCGACUGAUUUUGACGAAUGGUGUUAUUUUUUUCUUAAAAAAAAAACGGUAACGAUAAUUAUUUGAGACCUCUGACGAAUCACGAUUAGGAUAUUUUGACGAAUCACGGUAAAAAAUUUACCAAUUUGACGUUACAUAUAAUAAUAGCCGAAAAUUACCGUUUGACGCCUGACGUUAAAGGGCAUUACUACAUGUACCUCCAGCUAACAGUACAUCCACUGACAUACUCUAAAAAAUGUUCUAACAUCUAAAAUAAAAGGUCACCAGCAAAUGGUUCAGAAAUUAAAGGGUGUUGAUAUUUUGUUGGGGUCAUAAAGGUUGGGCUAAAUGGUCAAUCUAAUUCUAUAAUAAUAGAGUGAGAUGCAAUAAUAGCUGUCGUUAUUAAGUUUUUAAGAAAAUUGCUCAUAAAUUUCCAAAUAAUUCUAAUAUUUCUAUAUAAGAACAUUUAUACAAUUGAAAGACAAAAUUAAAUUUAAAACUGAAAUUGCAUGUAUUUGCUUUAACAUCCUCUUUUCUCUUAAUAGUGAUUAAACUACCAGGCUUAUGAUUUAAUACGCCAGACGCGCGUUUCGUCUACAUAAGACUCAUCUGUGACGCUCAGAUCAAAAUAGUUAGAAAGCCAAACAAGUACAAAGUUGAAGAGCAUUGCUAACCCAAAUAAAAAAAAAAGUUGUGCCAAAUAAGAAAGGAUCAGAAAAUCCUUAGUCUCUAAAUCGCUUCAGAUUAAAGUGUUUGGUCAAGGUAGCUUUUGAUGAAGUUGAAGUCCUAUAUUAUCAACUUGAAACUUAGUACAGAUGUUCCCUCUGUUAUGAUCCUUCUUAUUUUAAUGUCAAAUUAGAGUUUUUACUCCAAUUUCAACAUGGCAUUCAUAAAACAACGGUAUGGCUAAUCCUGAUUGGUCGAUAUGUGUACCCGUUAUUUUUUUAAUGAGAUACUUCUUGCACUCUGCAUUAAGUCAAAGGCAAAAUGAUAUAUUUUUCCUUAGCCCUAACGGAACACAGAUUUAGGACCAAAACGUACUGUCCAAUUAUAGCAAAGUCUCGUUUAAAAGAUCAACUUUUUAAAGUCAGCAUCUCGAUAAAGGCUUUCCUUUUUCCCAAUGCGGAAAUAAUGUUUUUAUAAAAUGCAAUUUGUUACAUCAUUCUGUAGUUUAUGCCUGUUGCCCCUCUUCUAUUUUAUCCAGCAAGAUGAUUGGAUACAAUUUAUGAACUACCGUUUUUUGUCGAGCCUGCAAAUUUUCAGAAAGCUCGACACAGGGAUAGUGAUCUGGUGGAGGCGGAAGCAGCGUUAGCUAACUUCAUAAAAGCUUCAUAUUUAGGAAGGUAAAAGACCUCGAUGCUUCAUACAUUGUAUAAUUAUACAUGUAUAUGUCUCGUUACGAAGUUUUCGUCUCUGUCACAUGUCCACAUUUUCAUGGUUCAGUAUCUACUUGAAAAAAAAAAGAUUGUUUGUAAUGUUAAUUUCUCUCUUAUUGUGAGUGAUAGGAUAACCAUAUUUAGUAUGUGUCAACCUUGCAAGUUCUCAUGCCUGUCAGUCAGUUUUCACUUGACUUCGAUUUCAUGGAUCAGUGAGUGAACACGGUUAAGUGUUGGUGGUCAAUAUAAAAAAGAAGAUGUGGUAUGAUUGCCAAUGAGACAACUAUCCACAAAAGACCAAAAUGACACACACAUUAACAACUUGUAUAGGUCACCGUACGGCCUUCAACAAUGAGCAAAGCCCAUACCGCAUAGUCAGCUAUAAAAGGCCCCGAUAAGACAAUGUAAAACAAUUCAAACGAGAAAAAUAACGGCCUCAUUUAUGUAAAAAAAUGAAAGAAGUCCAUAUCUCGUAUACUAUAAGCAAUAGGUCUAAUAUAUUGAGUGUAUGGAAGGACUAUAAGGUGUACAUGCCUAACUGGCAGGUGUCAUCUGCCCUUGACCUCAUGUUCCUGGUUCAGUGGUUAUAGCAGUUAAGUCUGUUUCUUAGAAACUAUAAGCAAUCGGUCAACUAUAUUAAGUGUUUUUGAACGAUUGUAAGAUUUAUAUGUAUUUCUUGUUUGGUUUAUAUGACCUUGACAUCAUUCUUCUGGAACAUAUUAAGUUAACGUGAUAGUUGCAGUAAUUAAAGCUUUAUAUUUUACAUUAUCAACAUAAAAUCAAUUAAUGUGUGCACUCUUGUUGUAAGAUAGCCUAAGUAACAGAAAAAAAUAUGUGACAUUAAAACAACAAUUGAUAAAAAGGGACUACUUUUCCAUAACACCUGUCAGGGUUGGCAAAGUACUACCUGCCCGGGAAACCCAUAUCACAUGUGGUUCAAGAUAUUAUUUUUGUUUCUCAUAUAUCAUGAUUAUUGUAUUUGUACAAUUGUUUUCCAGUAAAUUUGUAUUUGAUGGUAAAAUAUUUUUAUUUGCACUCAGGAAAAAAAAUAAUAGUUGAAGGAUCAACUCAAGAAACACUUCAAGGUGCUAAAUGCAGUAGUGAUUUCUACCAACCUUUUAAAUUCGUGACUAAUGGAAGCUAUGGCUGUGUUUUAACAAAAUCUUACUGCAACGAAGAAGGACAAGUUGUUUAUGGAUACGGUACCACGAAAAAUGAUACAUUAUGCCGCUGUGACUAUACAAGAGGAUAUUAUUUUACUAUACCACCAAAACAAACAUGUUAUUGUGUACCUUCUGAAGAAGAUUGUUCCUGUCAUCUUAAGUUAUGUCCACCUAACUAUAAUUUGACACAAGGUAUGUAGGUUAUAUAA